rnacentral:rRNA from 1 species
AGUGAACGCUGGCGGUAGGCCUAACACAUGCAAGUCGAACGGCAGCACAGUAAGAGCUUGCUCUUACGGGUGGCGAGUGGCGGACGGGUGAGGAAUACAUCGGAAUCUACUUUUUCGUGGGGGAUAACGUAGGGAAACUUACGCUAAUACCGCAUACGACCUACGGGUGAAAGCAGGGGAUCUUCGGACCUUGCGCGAUUGAAUGGGCCGAUGUCGGAUUAGCUAGUUGGCGGGGUAAAGGCCCACCAAGGCGACGAUCCGUAGCUGGUCUGAGAGGAUGAUGAGCCACACUGGAACUGAGACACGGUCCAGACUCCUACGGGAGGCAGCAGUGGGGAAUAUUGGACAAUGGGCGCAAGCCUGAUCCAGCCAUACCGCGUGGGUGAAGAAGGCCUUCGGGUUGUAAAGCCCUUUUGUUGGGAAAGAAAAGCAGCAGGUUAAUACCCCGCUGUUCUGACGGUACCCAAAGAAUAAGCACCGGCUAACUUCGUG